rnacentral:rRNA from 1 species
CCUACGGGUGGCUGCAGUGGGGAAUAUUGCACAAUGGGCGCAAGCCUGAUGCAGCCAUGCCGCGUGUGUGAAGAAGGCCUUCGGGUUGUAAAGCACUUUCAGCGGGGAGGAAGGCGGUGAGGUUAAUAACCUCAUCGAUUGACGUUACCCGCAGAAGAAGCACCGGCUAACUCCGUGCCAGCAGCCGCGGUAAUACGGAGGGUGCAAGCGUUAAUCGGAAUUACUGGGCGUAAAGCGCACGCAGGCGGUCUGUCGAGUCGGAUGUGAAAUCCCCGGGCUCAACCUGGGAACUGCAUUCGAAACUGGCAGGCUAGAGUCUUGUAGAGGGGGGUAGAAUUCCAGGUGUAGCGGUGAAAUGCGUAGAGAUCUGGAGGAAUACCGGUGGCGAAGGCGGCCCCCUGGACAAAGACUGACGCUCAGGUGCGAAAGCGUGGGGAGCAAACAGGAUUAGAUACCCUUGUAGUC